GGGCGUUUAGCUCAGCUGGUUCAGAGCAUCUGCCUUACAAGCAGAGGGUCGGCGGUUCGAAUCCGUCAACGCCACA
rnacentral:tRNA from 1 species